rnacentral:rRNA from 1 species
UACGAGGGGAGCAAGCGUUGUUCGGAUUUACUGGGCGUAAAGGGCUCGUAGGCGGCCAACUAAGUCAGACGUGAAAUCCCUCGGCUUAACCGGGGAACUGCGUCUGAUACUGGAUGGCUUGAGUUUGGGAGAGGGAUGCGGAAUUCCAGGUGUAGCGGUGAAAUGCGUAGAUAUCUGGAGGAACACCGGUGGCGAAGGCGGCAUCCUGGACCAACACUGACGCUGAGGAGCGAAAGCCAGGGGAGCAAACGGG